rnacentral:lncRNA from 10 species
GUUUUGGCUGAAAAGCCCCUUGUUUCUCCUAGUGUUAUUACUUGAGGUUCAGUAGUUCUAAUAUGUUUGAGGCAUGCACAUGUUUUGUUGAGUCUAAGGAGAUUCUACUGUCCUUAUUCAUUCAUUUUAUAUUUAUUAAGUACCCUUUCAAUAUCAAGCACCCUCCUAGAUAUUGAGGAACAAGCAGCAACAAAACAAAUGUAUUUUCUGCUCUCUGCUUAGGGUCCAGCCUCUCUUGGUAUGUCAUGAAGUCUGAUAACCUGUGGAAUCCUGUUGCCUCUUAACAGGAUGCUAAGAGUGGCACAUUCCAGUCAGAGUUGAACAACAGUUUGAACUGCAAAGGUCCACCUGAUUUUUUUCUGCCUCUGCUACCUCUGAAACAGCAAGAUCAGCCCUUGCUCUUCCUUCUGCUCCUACUCAACAUGAAGGCACAAAGACGAAGACUUUAUAAUGAUCCAUUUUUACUUAAUAAGCAGUGAGGCACUGAAGGCAGGCUCCCACUAGUCUUUAAUGGAAAUAUUACAAAGUAGAAGAAAAUGUAACAUUACAUAUCAAACCACUAUCAACAUUAAAGUGAAAC